CAGCAGUCGCCACGGUAACACGGAGGGUGCGAGCGUUGUCCGGAUUUAUUGGGUUUAAAGGGUGCGUAGGUGGCUUUUUAAGUCAGUGGUGAAAUACAGCCGCUCAACGGUUGAGGUGCCAUUGAUACUGAAGAGCUUGAAACAAGUGGAGGCUGCCGGAAUGGAUGGUGUAGCGGUGAAAUGCACAGAUAUCAUCCAGAACACCGAUUGCGAAGGCAGGUGGCUACGUUUGAUUUGACACUGAGGCACGAAAGCAUGGGGAGCAAACAGGAUUAGAUACCCCCGUAGUCCCUGUCUCUUAUAC
rnacentral:rRNA from 1 species